CCAAUAGCGUAUAUUAAAGUUGUUGCAGUUAAAAAGCUCGUAGUUGAAUUUCGAGACCGGCUUACUGGUCGUGCUAUUGUGCGUACUGGUAUAAUCGGUUUCUCCUUUCUGACGAACUAUAAUGCCAUUAAUUUGGUGUUAUAGGGAAUCAGGACUGUUACUUUGAAAAAAUUAGAGUGUUUAAAGCAGGCUCACGCUUGAAUACAUUAGCAUGGAAUAA
rnacentral:rRNA from 1 species